GGGCCCUUAGCUCAGUUGGUCAGAGCAUCCGGCUCAUAACCGGGCGGUCCCGGGUUCAAGUCCCUGAGGGCCCACCA
rnacentral:tRNA from 1 species